rnacentral:rRNA from 1 species
UACGUAGGGGGCAAGCGUUGUCCGGAAUCAUUGGGCGUAAAGAGCGUGUAGGCGGCUCGGUAAGUCCGCUCUGAAAGCCCGGGGCUCAACCCCGGGAGGCGGGCGGAUACUGUCGGGCUAGAGUCCGGAAGAGGCGAGUGGAAUUCCUGGUGUAGCGGUGAAAUGCGCAGAUAUCAGGAAGAACACCCGUGGCGAAGGCGGUUCUCUGGGACGGUACUGACGCUGAGACGCGAAAGCGUGGGGAGCGAACAGG